CGUGUAGGCGGAUAGAUAAGUCGGGCGUGAAAUCCCCAGGCUCAACCUGGGAACUGCACUCGAAACUGUUUAUCUUGAGUGCCGGAGAGGAAAGCGGAAUUCCUGGUGUAGAGGUGAAAUUCGUAGAUAUCAGGAGGAACACCAGUGGCGAAGGCGGCUUUCUGGACGGUAACUGACGCUGAGACGCGAAAGCGUGGGGAGCAAACA
rnacentral:rRNA from 1 species